UGCGAGCGUUAAUCGGAAUUACUGGGCGUAAAGCGUGCGCAGGCGGUUUUUUAAGUCCGGUGUGAAAGCCCUGGGCUUAACCUAGGAAUUGCGCUUGAGACUGGAUAGCUUGGAGUGGGGCAGAGGGAGGUGGAAUUCCACGUGUAGCAGUGAAAUGCGUAGAGAUGUGGAGGAACACCGAUGGCGAAGGCAGCCUCCUGGGCCAGCACUGACGCUCAUGCACGAAAGCGUGGGGAGCAAACAGG
rnacentral:rRNA from 1 species